rnacentral:rRNA from 1 species
UUUUCAUCAGACAAUCUGUGUGAGCACUGCAAAGUACGCUUCUUUAAGGUAAGGAGGUGAUCCAACCGCAGGUUCCCCUACGGUUACCUUGUUACGACUUCACCCCAGUCAUGAAUCACAAAGUGGUAAGCGCCCUCCCGAAGGUUAAGCUACCUACUUCUUUUGCAACCCACUCCCAUGGUGUGACGGGCGGUGUGUACAAGGCCCGGGAACGUAUUCACCGUGGCAUUCUGAUCCACGAUUACUAGCGAUUCCGACUUCAUGGAGUCGAGUUGCAGACUCCAAUCCGGACUACGACGCACUUUAUGAGGUCCGCUUGCUCUCGCGAGGUCGCUUCUCUUUGUAUGCGCCAUUGUAGCACGUGUGUAGCCCUGGUCGUAAGGGCCAUGAUGACUUGACGUCAUCCCCACCUUCCUCCAGUUUAUCACUGGCAGUCUCCUUUGAGUUCCCGGCCGGACCGCUGGCAACAAAGGAUAAGGGUUGCGCUCGUUGCGGGACUUAACCCAACAUUUCACAACACGAGCUGACGACAGCCAUGCAGCACCUGUCUCACGGUUCCCGAAGGCACAUUCUCAUCUCUGAAAACUUCCGUGGAUGUCAAGACCAGGUAAGGUUCUUCGCGUUGCAUCGAAUUAAACCACAUGCUCCACCGCUUGUGCGGGCCCCCGUCAAUUCAUUUGAGUUUUAACCUUGCGGCCGUACUCCCCAGGCGGUCUACUUAACGCGUUAGCUCCGGAAGCCACGCCUCAAGGGCACAACCUCCAAGUAGACAUCGUUUACGGCGUGGACUACCAGGGUAUCUAAUCCUGUUUGCUCCCCACGCUUUCGCACCUGAGCGUCAGUCUUUGUCCAGGGGGCCGCCUUCGCCACCGGUAUUCCUCCAGAUCUCUACGCAUUUCACCGCUACACCUGGAAUUCNNNNNNNNNNNNNNNNNNNNUGCCAGUUUCGAAUGCAGUUCCCAGGUUGAGCCCGGGGAUUUCACAUCCGACUUGACAGACCGCCUGCGUGCGCUUUACGCCCAGUAAUUCCGAUUAACGCUUGCACCCUCCGUAUUACCGCGGCUGCUGGCACGGAGUUAGCCGGUGCUUCUUCUGCGGGUAACGUCAAUUGCUGCGGUUAUUAACCACAACACCUUCCUCCCCGCUGAAAGUACUUUACAACCCGAAGGCCUUCUUCAUACACGCGGCAUGGCUGCAUCAGGCUUGCGCCCAUUGUGCAAUAUUCCCCACUGCUGCCUCCCGUAGGAGUCUGGACCGUGUCUCAGUUCCAGUGUGGCUGGUCAUCCUCUCAGACCAGCUAGGGAUCGUCGCCUUGGUGAGCCGUUACCUCACCAACAAGCUAAUCCCAUCUGGGCACAUCUGAUGGCAAGAGGCCCGAAGGUCCCCCUCUUUGGUCUUGCGACGUUAUGCGGUAUUAGCCACCGUUUCCAGUAGUUAUCCCCCUCCAUCAGGCAGUUUCCCAGACAUUACUCACCCGUCCGCCACUCGUCAGCAAAGCAGCAAGCUGCUUCCUGUUACCGUUCGACUUGCAUGUGUUAGGCCUGCCGCCAGCGUUCAAUCUGAGCCAUGAUCAAACUCUUCAAUUUAAAAGUUUGAUGCUCAAUGAAUUAAACUUCGUAAUGAAUUACGUGUUCACUCUUGAGACUUGGUAUUCAUUUUUCGU